GAGUCCUCAACAUUACCAUAAUAAUAUUAGGUACCUUCGAAACGAAUGGGAGGUGAAAAUCUAGGACCCAGGCCCCUUAAGGGUUGGGUCAUGCUAUUAUGGUUACCUGUGGAUGCUAACGAGGAGGAGGACAAAGAUGAACCCGUAAGAGUAAGUUACAGGGCGUCUGAUAUGUAUUACUGUCUAGGGAGCAGAAGGAUGGUAGAAUAUUAUAUUGGCAUAUUUGGACAGACUAUGGAAUAAAGCACAGAUCGACACCCUCCAGUUAGAGGGGUCAAUACUCCCUG